AACAAGUGAGGACUUUGUGGGUCACUUUUAUUUUUAACGAACCGGUGCCAGAAACACUGCCUCAGCAUUUAUACGUAUGUGCAUUUCAAACGAGGGUGCGUACAAUGCUGGAUUUGUUUCACGGCUCCUGUUGGAAAAAGGGAUCUAUUCCUAAAGUCCGUCAUCCACUCACUGCAUACCUUUUGUUUUGAUGAGGUGAUGGUGAGGACAGCCACAGCUUCCAUCUGGUAGAGGACUGCUUCC
rnacentral:lncRNA from 1 species